GUCGUUAAAAUUUCGUACGGAACGAAGUUACGGAAAAAUCAAUUAACAAACGGAGACGUAACAAUAUGUUAUCUUUAAAAUAUUUUGAA